AGAAACUACCCCGGCAGGGAGUGGGGGAGCAGCGGAUAUUCCGGGGUAGGAACGGCCAUCGCAACGCUGACAGAGGUUGUUUUUUAAGAAGCAAAACUGUUGGCGGCGACCUGAGCGCUGGAAGCCGAAGGGGAAGAGGAAGGAGACGCGAAGCCAGGGCGGCCGGCACAAAGGCGGCGGACUCGCGGCGGCAGCGCCUGCCCGGCCGGGAGCACAACCCACGGCCCUACUCCAGCGAAGUCCCGCACCGGCUUCUAGGAAUAAAGUUUACGUUCUCCUGAGGCCGCACCCCCCACCUCCCACCCAGGACGGCACAUCUCCGUGUCCUCCUCCCCCAAACUCCACUCGGGACCCCGAGAACCACCCCAGCCUUCCGGCCACCACAACAAAGAGCCGCACCGACCGGCGAGGAUAAACAGCGGCGGAGGGCGAGAGGGCGGCGGGGCGAGCGCCUCCACGCAGCAACUCCGGAGUCCCCCGCUUGCCCGAGCGCAGUUUCUCCGCUGCUGUUUCCACCGGCUUUGUAACACUGGGAAUUUACAUCCUCACCCGCACCCCUCACGCCCGAGGAUUUUAAACUCACCUUUACUCUCGAACUGAGAGUUGCGGUAGAUGGGAUUUUUGCCUUUUCCCCAGAUGGUUGAAGGUUAAGAUUUUUGGAAACCCCACCACCUCCUUAUUUCUAUUAUUAUUUCUGCAAGAAAAGUAUAAAGAGAGUUGUAGUGGAGGUGAGAUUUGUGAUCGGGAAAGCCUUCGACUCCCUCCUUCUCCGUCUUCCGCCUCUCUCUCUCUGAUUAGUUCCUAUCCAGCAGCAGAUUGAAGCAGGAGAUGAUUCUUCUCAAGGUUUGUUCAGCAGCUUCACUUCUAGGCGAAGGCUUCAUGAACCAAGUGACGUCAACCAACAAGGCUUCUCUCUCUCUCCUCUCUCUAACAAUGAAAGUUGCUGUUAACAAGGGAAAAAAAGAGAGAGAAUUGUUUAUACCAUUUCAGUUCCAAUAAUAAAUGACCUAUCAGCUCCUAAAGGAGCCAAGGGAGGGGGUUGCUUCUUCUUUCCAAGAAUACUGUAGCUUUGAGUUUGCACCGUUCCUUGUCCCAGGAAAAAGUUAAGAAACUUAAAAUGUUUUGUUUUGCUUUUAAAGAAGACAGGACAGAAAACGGGAUUUAAAACUUAGUUUUUAAAAAAACAAAAGCUACAGAGUAGGGAGCAUAGGUCAACCAUCUCCACCUAAAUUUUUUUUGUUCCUAAACUCAGAAUUCUACAACCCAACUAAAUUAAUAUGCCAAGAUUUUGCGGAUGUUAAAACUCAAAAAAAGCAGUAUGCAAGACGGUCCCGGGGUAAAAUUCUACUGCCUUUCCACGGACAAGUUAAACUGGCUGUAAUGUUUAUGCACUAAGUUAAAAUAAAAUUUAAAUAAAAGACGUUAAAA
rnacentral:lncRNA from 10 species